UACAGAGGUCCCAAGCGUUGUUCGGAUUCACUGGGCGUAAAGGGUGCGUAGGCGGUCGGGUAAGUCUGAUGUGAAAUCUCACAGCUUAACUGUGAAACUGCAUUGGAUACUAUCCGGCUCGAGGAAUGGAGGGGAGACUGGAAUACUUGGUGUAGCAGUGAAAUGCGUAGAUAUCGUGAGGAACACCAGAGGCGAAGGCGGUCUCCUGGACAGUUACUGACGCUCAGGCACGAAAGCGUGGGGAGCAAAAGGG
rnacentral:rRNA from 1 species